rnacentral:tRNA from 1 species
GCCAGUGUGGUGUAGUGGUUUAAGUGCUGGACUACAACUCUAGAGACCAAGGUUUGAAUCCAUGCUCAGCCA